UUUGCCUGCUUCCACUCUAGCACACGCUCUCCUAGGCGGAGCGAGUGCGACGGCAGAUAGAAUCACUAGUGGUGGGCGUGCGAGGGUGGGGAGAAAUACACUACAUUAUUUUAAUCCAGGCCAACCAUUCAAGAAAGUAUGUUACAAUGAGAGAUAGUUUGUCCCCCACAUUUCUGGUCCUCGAGCAUCUAUGACCUUCCGAAGUGGUUGCAACUGAGGAGAACUCUUGCCACGUUGCUCCUGCGUGCGACACCAUUCAAAGAAUUAUGUACGCCGAAAGUUAAUACAUUACAAAUUAACGACUGCCUUUAAGCUGAGAACAAUUACUGCAAUUUUGGAAUGGUGCAAACUAAAUCUAGAAACAAUUGCAACUUCGAUCGUACGAAAUUCGAUAAGUGCUAUAAACCCUUUCUUAAGGCUAAAGCACUCAAAGUGAAUCAUUUCGACGAGUAAACCAUGUGAUCCCCUCAUAUUUUUCCGGUUGAAAUUGAUUGAGAAAUUUGCUGUUAAUUGGAGACACAACGAAAUCGCCAACAGUCAGUCAAAUCUUGCAAAAAAAUCCAGCCCCACAUUUCGGGCAAAUCUUCAUGUGAAGGGGUGGGCACUCUAAACCUUCAACAAAAAACAAAUUCUACUAAAAUGGAACAGUCACUUUGACCCCAUUUUAGAAAGAAAUGCGAAUUCUGUUUGACUUUAUCUCGUUAGCAGGGAGUCCGAAAGAAAUUUUAUUCAGAGCUUUUUAAGAUACUCUAAUUAUCUGUAACUUUUUGACAAUUUCAAGCAAAUCAAAAGUAUAUACAUAUAAGCAAAAAACAAUGGAAAAUUUUCCAAUUAUAACUUUUAAAGCCAAAUAACUUCUUUAACUUUCAUUUUAGCAAAGAAAAAAGUUACAAAGCAUAGCCCAAGAUAUGGCUUUUUAUUCUUAUGCUCAUUGAUCUUAUAUAGCUACGCACAGUCCUACCCUGGAGGGAACGCAGGUAGGUGGGUGUUAUAAUAAGAUACACUAAUUUCUACUUUCCUAGGAAAUAUUGAAUGGUUUUAUUAUUUCUAAUUAAGGCCAAAUGUACUUUUUUAAUAGAAUUUAGAUGGAGGUAAUUUUCAAAAAGAAACGACGUUUUAAUGGGCUUUGCCUAAGGGUUACACCCAAUGAAAUUCAAUAUAUGAAUGUAUGUGAAGUAGAAUCCCAAUUAUCCAAGGUAAUGUGGGGAAUACCUACUUCUUCGGCUAACAGAAAAACAACCAAUGAUCCCAAAUUUAUGUUCAAUUAUAAAAAGAAAUUAUCAGAACAUAACCUUCUUCGUAUGAUUUUCUUGAUCUGAUUCUUUCAAACUAUAGCAGUUGAUAAACUUUCAAAGGUUUGCAUUUGUUUUCUAAAUUGUCAACGCCUUGCUAGAAACGCUCGCCCUUUUCGUCACAAGCCUCGUGCCUUCAGCGCUCACUACGUUUGCUAUACCCCAAAGAGACAACCACACUUAGAUCCCUACUACCCAUAUCUGCUGGUGGGUUGACGUCGUUGUGGCUAUCAAUUUGACAGUGGAACAAAAGUGUUGAAUGAAAAUUCUGUUACAUAUGUGUUUCUGCAAAAGACAAUAUCAACUAAAAAUUUCCUAUUGGGUUCGCUUGCUAUUGAGUUCGCAGAAAACAUUUGAAUACUCCAUGACAGACUGCAGUGACAUUUCGAAUCAAAAAGCGUAAUACCAAAUGGAACGGGAAUUAUUGCAAUCGCGGGCGUGGACGCCGAUUUUGGGGAAAAGGUCAGGGUAGAAAUAGCAUCCUAGACUGCAGCUUGUCAUUUCACUGAACUCUCAAGAAUAUAUCUGACAAUAUUGAUCCUAAUGGAAAUCGAAAUUGAACAAACAUGAGGAGCAGCGGACAAUCAAAAUGGGGUCGAAUUUCACACGAAACAGCUAGAUGAAUGUUUGCAGCUGCUGACAGAGGUGAAAAUCCUCAAUAUUCACAAGGAAUGACGGGUUAGAAUUGAAAAAAUAUUAACAGUAAUUAAACAGUUUUAAAUAAAAAACUUUAGAUGCGUUUUCUUAAAA